rnacentral:rRNA from 1 species
UUUUGCGCAAUGGAGGCAACUCUGACGCAGCCACGCCGCGUGCAGGAGGACGCCCCUACGGGGUGUAAACUGCUUUUCUGCGAGAAGAAGGCCUUGCUUUGGGCAGGGUGUGACGGUAUCGCAGGAAUAAGCACCGGCUAACUCCGUGCCAGCAGCCGCGGUAAUACGGAGGGUGCAAGCGUUAUCCGGAUUCACUGGGUUUAAAGGGUGCGUAGGUGGGUAUGUAAGUCAGUGGUGAAAUCCCCGAGCUUAACUUGGGAACUGCCGUUGAUACUAUAUAUCUUGAAUGUCGUAGAGGUAAGCGGAAUAUGUCAUGUAGCGGUGAAAUGCUUAGAGAUGACAUAGAACACCAAUUGCGAAGGCAGCUUGCUAUGCGAUUAUUGACACUGAGGCACGAAAGCGUGGGUAGC